rnacentral:tRNA from 1 species
GGAGAAAUGACCGAGUGGUCGAAGGUAACGCAUUGCUAAUGCGUCGUAUAAUAAAAUAUACCGAGGGUUCGAAUCCCCCUUUCUCCG